rnacentral:misc_RNA from 1 species
UUAAGUUCAGCGGGUAUCCCUACCUGAUCCGAGGUCAAGAGCAAAUGUAUAGGCUUACUGGACGCCAACGUUCAGGCCGAGGGACGCAAAAUGUGCUGCGCUCCAAGGCUUAUACGCCGGCUGCCAAUCACUUUAAGGCGAGUCCCACAUGUAAAACGGGGACAAACACCCAACACCAAGCAGUGCUUGAAGGUACAAAU